ACCCUACGGGCGGCUGCAGUGGGGAAUCUUCCGCAAUGGGCGAAAGCCUGACGGAGCAACGCCGCGUGAGGGAAGAAGGCCUUCGGGUUGUAAACCUCUGUUUUCAGGGAAGAAAAAAAUGACGGUACCUGAAGAGUAAGCUCCGGCUAACUACGUGCCAGCAGCCGCGGUAAUACGUAGGGAGCGAGCGUUGUCCGGAAUUACUGGGCGUAAAGGGCGCGUAGGUGGUUCAUUAAGUUACAGGUGAAAGUUCGGGGCUCAACCCCGUGAUUGCCUGUGAUACUGGUGAACUUGAGUGCAGGAGAGGGUAGCAGAAUUCCCAGUGUAGCGGUGAAAUGCGUAGAUAUUGGGAGGAAUACCAGUGGCGAAGGCGGCUAUCUGGACUGUAACUGACACUGAGGCGCGAAAGCGUGGGGAGCGAACAGGAUUAGAUACCCUGGUAGUCUGG
rnacentral:rRNA from 1 species